GACGAACGCUGGCGGCGUGCUUAACACAUGCAAGUCGAGCGGUAAGGCCCUUUCGGGGUACGACGAGCGGCGAACGGGUGAGUAACACGUGGGUGACCUGCCCUUAGCUCUGGGAUAAGCCUGGGAAACUGGGUCUAAUACCGGAUAUGACUCCAUAACGCAUGUUGUGGGGUGGAAAGCCUUGUGCGGCUAGGGAUGGGCCCGCGGCCUAUCAGCUUGUUGGUGGGGUGAUGGCCUACCAAGGCGACGACGGGUAGCCGGCCUGAGAGGGCGACCGGCCACACUGGGGACUGAGACACGGCCCAGACUCCUACGGGAGGCAGCAGUGGGGAAUCUUGC
rnacentral:rRNA from 1 species